rfam:Bosea sp. WAO WAO_contig_3, whole genome shotgun sequence.
AUCAUCCCCGCGGGAGAGACCGGGAUCGGACUUGUCCGGACCCGGCGCCGAAGGCGCAACCGCCCCGGAAACGCUCAGGCAAACGGACCGCGUGGGAAUU